rnacentral:misc_RNA from 1 species
CCAAUCUUUUUAGCGAGCCAUGGCUUUGUUCAUGGUCUCGCGAAAACUUGUAUUUAAAACCCGCUCAUAAAUUAAAAAAACAUUUUAUUAUUGUAAUAAUAAUAAAGA